rnacentral:rRNA from 1 species
UACGUAGGGUGCGAGCGUUAAUCGGAAUUACUGGGCGUAAAGGGCUCGUAGGUGGCCAACUAAGUCAGACGUGAAAUCCCUCGGCUUAACCGGGGAACUGCGUCUGAUACUGGAUGGCUUGAGUUUGGGAGAGGAUAGCGGAAUUCCCAGUGUAGAGGUGAAAUUCGUAGAUAUUGGGAAGAACACCGGUGGCGAAGGCGGCUAUCUGGACUGUGAUUGACGCUGAGGCGCGAAAGCGUGGGGAGCAAACAGG